rnacentral:lncRNA from 1 species
AUGGGAAAGAUCUACCUUCUGGAAGCUACUACUACGUGGUGCUUGGAAAGGUGAGGAUGGGGGACUGACCCCAGGAAAUUGCUCGAAACUCCGCAUCUGGUGGGAUUUCCAGAAAAGUCAGUGGGAGACGGGAGGUUUGGAGGCCCCGGGUUAGAAAGGUUUGUCAGUCUAGGGAAUGAGGAGAAUCAGAAUAAAACUAGGGCAGCAGGCUGUCCGCCUUUGGUUGGGGGAGGGAGGCCUCGAAAAAUCAGGGUCCCGGCUCUCUAACCUGUCUUUGUCGCAGGUCUCACGUUUGUGGGGAGGGGGUUUACCAAGCCCUGCGCCAUGCGCAGUGGCCCCCACCCGUGACUGCGCAUCUGGAAGCGCAGUGCGCCCUGGGUCUCUGGCCUAGGACGAGCACCGCCCUUCUUAUUACAUAACUGAGGGCAUGGCACGCGCCUUCUCGGCCCUUCCUUGCAACCCUACCUUCUUGCUCCCCAGGGCCCAUAGAGCUGGGGAGGGUCUGACUGGGUAGCAGUGAAGGACUGCAAUCCCUGGGAGGGCUAACUCUUGUCUAGUUACUGGCAGGAGCCAAGCUUGAGGACAAAAGUGGUGGUUUUCUAGCCUCAUCUUGGGGAAGAGGCUACAGAACAUCCUUCUGAGUGCCCCAUACCACCUAUGGCCCCUAGGGCCUCUCUGGUGGAGGGGGUGGCACCCUUCUUUCACUCAUGUCCCAUCUGAUUUUUGAGAGGAUGUUUCUGAAGGAAAAGAUGUGAUGAUUAUCGGGGGCUUGGUUGGGAGGUAGUUUUGACAGUUUACUCCCCUUGUCACUGGCUUCCCCUCUUUUCCCUGGGUGGGUUUAUGAUCUUUCUGGACUCCUCUGAUGAGCUGCCAUUUUGGAGCCAUUUCUGCUGGUCUCCGACAUGGUGGCGUUGGUUUUUCUGUCCUGCUGUGCCAGUUCCGCAGAGUGGGCGGGGGGCGGGGGCUAUGACGGAGGAGGGGAAGGGGGGGCAAAAGCACAGCAGAGGCAGGCACAGUGGUGGCUGCCGCAAUGAAGGUGGCUCUAGGGGCAGAGCCGCCUAGUCCCACCCUUGGACACAGUCCUGGGUGGGGAUUCAGGUGGAAGGCGUCUGGGUAGGGGUUCAACACCUGGGCCCGGCUUUGCCAGAGCGUGGGUUUCCCAUGUCCUCAUCAGCCUGGUGCUUGGAGUAGUUCGGAAAAGCUGAGUGUCUGAAUGAGAGUGGAGGCAGAGGCUCGGCAGCUCAUCUCAGACGUGUCAGACCCGUGGUUUGUGUUCCCCAAAUAGGCUCUGUCUCCAGCAGCCUCCCUGUGGGGACAGGGAAGUGAGGUCCAUGGCAGCUUUGAGGAUCUGUUCGGAUGGUCCUGCCUGCUUACUGUUUUUCUUCUCUUUCUCCUCCAUGCCCCCUGCCAGUGCCAUGGUUCCAGCUGUAGUCCUCUUGUGAGGCUCCCCGCUGCCCGUUCCCCCUCUCUCCAGGCCCUUCUGCGUGCAGCGGCCAUCUUGUCUUUCUUGCUCAGAAACUUAAAAUGGUUUCUCAUAAUUCCCAGAGUAAAAUUCCUUCCCUUUAGCGUGAUGCUCAAUGCUGGCCGUAACUGGCCUUAGGUUUCCUGUACAGUCUUACCUCUCUCAGUUUCUUUUGGUGGACCAUAGGUUCCAACAAAACCAGGCAACUUCCUUUUCCUAUCUGUUUUCACCAGUGAUGUUUUCCAUGCCUCUUCUCCUCUGCAUCCACCUGUGGCAGUCUCACUUUCUCCGUGGACCUCUCCUGAUUUCCUUGGCAAGAAGCAGUUCUCAUAACCACCCCUGCCCUUUCAGCCAAACUUCCAUACAGUCUGUCCCUUUUUAUGGUACUUUUGUUGUGUUAUGAUUAUUUGUGUAUAAGUCUUAUGUCACCUAUCAGAUUGGGAGCUCCAGGAGGGAGGCUAGAGAAAGGAGAAGGAAAACAAAUACCUAUUUGGUGCCUUCUGUUUGACAGAUACCAUGUUAUACACUUUCCCUGCAGUUACUUCAUUUACUCCUUUCCACAGCCCUGUGGGGAGCAUCCCAUGUCUAGUAAGUGGCCUGGUCAUGACUAGAGCCCUGGUCUUCCAAAGCCUUUACAUUUUUCCUCUCUGAAUUACUGGUGUUUACAAGAUGGCUGUUAUGAAGUAGAUCCCCAAAAUUUGUCUAUUUAAGGAAUUUUGUAAGUCCCUAAUGCUCUGAGGGAGUUUGGGUGGUCAAUCUUGUGUCCAUGGUCUGGGUCCCUCAGCUGUUCCUUGACACUGUCAUUAACUUUCUCCUCUUCCUUUGUGGUCAGGUUCACUCAAGAUGAUGGCUUUUUUCUUGUAGCUGAAAUUGAUGGAUUAACUGACUCAGUUAUCCUGGUUGCCUUCCUCGUACAAGAGGAGGGAGAGGUGGAGUGGGAUACAGCAUCUUCAAAGCCAGAAUAAGCUCCAGAAUUAGAGAGCAGGGAGCAGAGACACUGGACUUGAACAGACCUAGGUUUUCAUUGUGAUCCUUCUUCUUAGCUGAGUGACUUUAGACAAGUCAUAUGAUUUAAGUUUUCAGUGAGAUGGAGCUACUACAACUGUUAUACAGAAAUGCCUAAUAUAUUGGCAGCAAAUAGGUUCCCAUCCCUACCCAGUGGUUUAUCAGGGACUUAAAAUGGGAGCAUAGCAGGGGGCUAGAGAAGAAAUGGGGGAGACAGGAGCUCCUGUGCCCUAAGUGGUAUCACAGCAGGGGCGCAGAGGAGGUAACCUAGGCGUUACGCCCUUCAAGCCUGCAAGGUGUACUGUCCCCCACCUGCCAUAAAUACCCCUUUACUUCUGCAUCAGGAACAUGCCAUGGCAUCUGAGUGGUGGGGGCUGGUGACGGCAGAGGGAGGGUCAGUGAGCUUUCCUGGGAGCCUUUUGAUGCCAGGUUAGUUUCCCUUCUUUCUGAAUCUCAGCAGUGGCUGCCUGCUUCCCUGACGCUGCUGAGUCCCACGGGAGGGGAGCUGGGCACCCUGAAGCCCCUCGUUACCAAUUCGGGGGCCGCGGAGCAGAGUGUGACGACAGCCAGUGAGUCGUCAGUCGACGGCAAUGGGGACCCUGGUGACGGCUGCUUUGUUGUUUUUUUUCCUCUUUGGAAGAUGACUCAGUGUAUCGGGAGCCGGGAGAUGGAGCUCUCAGCAGAGUGGCCAGGAUGUUCUGUCAACAUGAAAGCUACAAAAACAGCUCGGGGCUCUGAGCUGAUCCUUAGCCUGGGGUCAUUUUCAGGGAGGGCUGGACAGAGAAGGCGGCCACCGCCCGGGCAUCAGGAUGGGAGCGACACCAGAGGACUCAGGAGAGUGCAGCUUGCUCUGUGAGUGGGUGACAACCUCUUGGCGACUCAGGCUCAGCUGAGGAUGGUGCCAGUGUGCCGGAGACAGCCGUCAUACUGCCGGAUAGAGUGGCUCACUUGCAUGUAUUUGGAACAAAAAAAGGAGAUGCCUGGCAGCCCCGCUCUCUGCAGUGCUGUUGAGCCACCAAUUUUUGUGGUUUUGUGACCACAAGUGCUGACUGAUGCGACAUGACCCCAGUCUUGUCAGUGAAUCAUCACCAGGCUGCUUACUGGAAACUGGAUGCAGCAAGGAAAUAGGAUUUAACCGCUCUCUGCCUCCCAGGUAAGUCCAGUGUGGGCUGCUCCCUCCAGCCUUCCCCCAUCCUCCUUCCUUCCCACGAACACCAUUUUCCUUAUUCCGCCGGGGAAUCCUCAGACGUCUCCAUUCAGAAUCUCCCAAACGAUUGUUCUCUUUUUUGCAUUCUUCUCCUUCUGGCUUUUCUGUGUGGGGUUAGUAACCAGCACAGGGUUGGGGGCAGAAUGGGCAGCUGAAGUGGUCGGGCUGUGCGGACGUGUGGGAGAUAGCUGGGUAGUGUUGCUGGGUGUGGCAGUUGGCAGAGCAUUUGGGCCUCCCACAGUAAUAGAAACUCUCUUUGGCUCCAGCAUCCAGCAGGAGGUUCUGGGUUUAACCCCUCGGUAAUCCUGGGAGCCUUCCUGGUGCCUGGGGAUUCUCUCCCCUGUGUAGUCUCAGUGGAUGGCCUGUCUUAACUCUAGAUACAUUUUGCCUUGAGGGGGCUUAGUCUAGGUUGGUGGUCUGGAGUUUGGACUGGGCUGAGCAGUGAGCUUUGGGACUCUCCCUAAUUUUGGGGUUUCUUUGAAUGAGCCACUUUCUUCCUCUAGGCCUUCAUUACCUUUGCCUUAAAAAACAAAAUCCCUGGUCCAGUAAGCCAUUGCAAAGCAUCUCUAGGAAGUUGACAAAGAAAUGCUUUUCUUCUGCCUCACUUGCUGCCGAUCACAGUAAUAGCAAUGGUGAUUAAAAAUGAAAAAUGAUGACGGCCUGCAGAAUCAGGGAGGUCAGUGGCAUCAUUGAUACAAUUCACAAAGCAGACUCUCGGUGCCCACACAUCACUAGGAAGUCUCUCUCCUAUCGAGUAGAUGACUACAGCAUUCUUGGCCAGUAAAGCCAGUUGGAAUUAGCCAACAGCAGAUUGGUCUGGGCUCUAAAGAUAAAAGGAAUUAUGUUGGGUAAUUUUCGGAGGUACCUAUGGGAUCCUACCUCUGGCCACACAGUGGUCGCCUCUCUCUGCUCAUAUGUUUCGGUGGGGGUGGGGGGUUCCUCUUCCCCAUGCUGCUCCCGUUGCUAUCCAGGGAAGAUUGGCCAAUUCUGCUUCCUGUUAUUUCUUCUUCUCCUCUGUCCAUUUGAGGUGAGUCUCUAGGUUGGCUGUGAACAGCCUGAGGAACCCAGGGCUGUUUGGAAGAAUCUGAUGUCUCUUCCUUCAAGGACCCUGACAGGUCUCAGCCCUCCAGCAGUACUGCAGUGAGGGAUGGCAGGGGGUGUUGGAGUGGAGAGAUAUCGACUUGGGUGCAGCUGGGGAGACUAAAAGGAGUGAGCCAAGUCCCUCAAGAAGUGUUGGCUAGAGUCUGGCCAGCCCUGGCUGUAGGGCUGGAGCCAGACGUAGCUGCUGGCUGUGCUUGGGAGUCUCAGCCCUCAUAUGUGCAGUGUGUCCCUGGGCAUGGCUCUUCGUGAUCCCCACUCCCACGAAUAGCCCUGUCCUUGGUUAGAUUGGGAAAACCAGGGUGGGAAGUAAAGGGGAGGUUGGUUUUGCUCGUGGUCAUGCAGUUAUCUCUCUGGCCUCUGAUGUUUCCAGAAUUGGGAUUGGUGCUUCCCUGCUGAUUUUCCUAUUUUUGUCCCUCAUCUGGUUCUUUUCCUCCUUGCUCACCAGCCUGGGUUCUACACACAUGACAUGGGGCAUUGUGUGUUCCCAAUGAGGAUAGCAGAACAGUUGGUAUCUCCUGAGAGAGGGGCCAGCAUAUCUGGCACUUUUUUCUUGACCUUUGAAUUUCUGAGGUCUGGGAGUCAGGAGGCAGCAUGGGGCCUCUCCAUCCGGGAUCCAGCAGAGGUUAACAGAGUUGGUGGCUCUGGAGCUGAGGUGGUGUGGCUUGGCUGGGAGUUGUGGGGGAGAGGCCCUGCCAGGGGCCCUGAUUGGUCAGUACCUUCUCUAUUCCAUUGAAUCCUGGUCCGGUCAGCUCUGUGAAUUGUUUAAUGCAUAUCUUGGCUCUGUCCCCUGGCUCGAGUGUCCCUAAGGCUGCAGCCACAGCUUUAGAGAGGAUCUGUACCUUGUGCUGGUCACUUUUUUUGGGCGUGUUACCUCCCUCUGAGAUAUGUAAGAGAUACCACCCUUUCCCACCAGCCGGCUGUCUGUGGGAGGCCCUCAUUUUGCUUUGCUUUUCUGAGACUUGGAGUGACUGUGAGGAAAGCAUGGACUGAGUUUGCUUUCUUGCUGGUUCCUUCCACAAGAGCUGCUCAUGGGCUGAUAAAGCCAGAGAACACCUCCAGGGCCCCAUGGCCUGUGCGGAGCCUGGUACCAUAGUGUCAAGCCUACAGGGAUGGACUGGGGACAUGGGGGCAGAUAGAGCCACGUGGGGAGGUGGUAUGUGUGGUUAGAUCACAGGAGCAAGUCCAGGAGGGUGUGGGAGGACAAGUCCAGUGCUCAGCCAGGGCUGCCUGUCAUGGCCCAGGAUGGAUGUGUGCAUCUCCUGUGAAGGAUUUGCGUCUGAGUGCCUGGUACUGAAGGUAGGAUGGUGCCCCGAUCAGGGUCUAUAAUGAGGCAUGAAGGUAUGAGAUGGGCAUCAGAGUUGUUGGUCCAAGGGAAACUGACCUUUUUAAAGGGCUCUCCUCUCCUUAUCUGAUUUCAUCCUCAGAACAACCAUAUGACAUAGGGAUCACUUCCCUUUUAUAGUUAAAGAAACAGAUUAAGUGACUUAACCCAAGGUUAUGCAUUUGGUAAGUGAGGUUGUUGAGAUUUAAAUGCAUGCACUUCUUAUUCCAAAGCCUCUACGUUAUCUUUACUCUUUUGGGCUGAAGUCAGACAUUUUUGUGAACUAAGAUUCUCAGAGGACUGAUGUGAACCAGAGUGAAAAGGCAGACACCCGAAGGAACUUUCCAGUCACUGGGGACGGUUGUGCCGCAUUCCUUUAGGGGGAGGCAGGGCAGACCCAAAUGCCCUUUGGUAGCCAUGGACAGGCAGAGCUGAGUAAGGCCAGUACAUGGCGUCUGCUGCUGUGUACGGAGCCUCUGCUAUGUGCCAGGGACUGUGCCAGGCGCUAGAGAUACAGAACUUGACAAAGCCAACUUUCCACUUUCAUGGGGCAUACAUUCUAGUGUGGAGAGACACCGCUAAUAAUGAUUUUUAAAAAGAAUUUAAAAAUGUACAGGGUAGACAUAUAUGGAGAUUGUGUGGGGAUGAAAAGGGGGACCCCCCACACACAUAAGGAGGAGAAUUCAGAUGAUGGUCAGAGGGUUCUAGAGACUUAGGACCUCAGCCAUCUGAAGCCACAUCAAUUGAGCUUUCCUUCAGGGAGUUAGGACUGACACAAACUAACCCCCUCUUUUUUCCUAAUAACUUGGGAAAUCCAUCCAAGGUCCCCAUGGCUUACAGGAACUUGUCGUGAGUCAGGGAUCAAGGUGGAGUAGAUGUCAAGCCUUUGGUCUCCGGCAGACUGGUUCUCUCCUGUCUGCCAUGGUUGCUGUUGGCCUUCUGCCUCACACCCUCCCAGGCACCAGCUGACUUCUUUCCUCAGCCUGGUCACUGUGCCCCACACUUGUCCAUGCAGCACAGGGAAACGUGCAGGUUAGGUCUUUGCCGAGCCAUUGGUCAAAUGUUCCUGCAGGAGGCUGGUUCUGAACUCAGCCUGUCCUGCCAGAACGAGCCGUUCCCAGAGCUAAUCGUCUCACGAUAGGGAAGGGAUGGGCACCAGGCAUAGAGAAGUGACCUGUGCCAGAUGCUUGGUUGAGCUGUGUCUUGAGAGGCGGAGGCAGGUUGGUGGUGCUGGGGACAGGGCAGGCAUGUGUCAUGUGUUCAGCGCAUGUAGCUCCAGGGCUCGGGACUUGUUUACUUGGUGGAAGAGGCAGCGGACCUGCGGAGUCAGGCCAUGUGAUUGUUGGCUCUUUGGCUGAUCAUGGACAGCUGACCCGCCGGACUGCACACACUGCCAUCUGCUGCCAGGGGUCUGAAGUUGCACAGGGAUGAGGUAGUGUAGUUGGGGGUGCUCAGGGAGGAGGAGGGUCAGGAAAGUGGGGUUUGUGUUGCUCUGUGUUGAGUCAGCCGACCCUGAUUCUGGUCCUAGCUCUUGUUGGUAAAAACUCACUCACUUUCCUCCUUUCAGCUCCAGUUUCAUUAUCUAUGAAAUGAGGGGAUGGAACCAGAAUCUCUUUGGAGGUUCCAGCUGUAUCCUGGGGCCUCCCUGAAUGUUCAUGGAGAUGUUCCUUAGCCAGUAAUUCAAGAUGAGGAAAACUAGGCCCAGGUUUCCACAAGAGAAGGGGAGGGAUCUUGAUGACCUGUCUCAGAGCGGCUGAAGUGGUACUGUUGGAAUUAGGGUGGGUGGGUGGGAGGAGGUAGUUUUUAAAGACCUCCCAGAAGUGGAAGCAGAGGGCUGGAGGUUUCGUGAAGGUGUUGAUGAGGAUCCACCGGGUGGUAGGGGACAUGGCUACGCGCUUCCCCCGGGAGGCUUGUUGGAGAUGGGUUUAUGUGGGAGCUGCUGGGGGUGCCUGCUGUCCUGCAAGGGGCUGACCCAAGGGACCCUGCUCUAGGAAAGAUGCUCCGUCCUGUCUGGCCCUAAACCCUGGAGAGAGAAUGCAGCUGUGGUUUGAGGGAGGGUCUGUGCCCCUUGCUGUCAGGAAGUUUUCCUUUAUAUUUAGCCUUCUCUUUUCAUGUAUUUUUUGAGGCCCUCGACUAAAAAAUUAAAUUUAAUUUUAAAAAAUAACAAUGAAAAAAAUAAAAAAUAAACAAAAAUAUCUCAGAGCCACUGGUUCCAUUUUGGCUUUUUAGUCUUGAGUCACUCUUAAAAAGAUAGCAAAAUAAAACACAUGCAGGAAAGCCGAAGGUCCCAGGCCCAGCCAGAUGGGGGCUAGGAGUGGCUGGGACUCUGGCCUAGCUUCUCCAUGGCAGCGUUAGUCCCAGACGUACACCACUUCUGCAAGGCUGUGUGGGUAGGAGCCCCUGGGGCUGAGGGGGCACAUUGUGCAAUCUGCUAAGCAGAAUGUAGAGUUUUAAAAUAGCUACCUUUCUCCAAGACACUAUCUGCUUGCCGCUUUGUGGGAUGUUUACCUGGGAUUAAUAAUAGCUGAGUGCCACCCCACUGCCAGUAUGGAAUAGCAAACAGCGAUCUGGGCUAGGACUCAGGCAGGAGAGGAAUGGAGUAAUAACCAUCGUAUCAGCUCACAUAGUUCUUUUCAUACUUGCUGGCUCAUUUGGUCCUCACACAACCCUGAGAGGGUAGGUGGUCUUAUCCUUGUCGUUGGUAAAACUGAACCUGAGAGUCAAUCCUGCCAAGAUCUGACUGCUUGUAGCCGCUUCUCGUGGGUCUCCCAUCUAGGUCCUCUGACUUCAGCUGUUAUUUCUCUGGGUUCUGACUAGUGGGGCAGGGACAGGAGUAGGGGAGUGGAGUCUUUGGCAGUUUCCUUAAUUUCUGAAGGCCUUAGAGGGCCUAGAGAUGCCUUUUCUAUGUGUUGAAUGGGAAACGGAACCUCAGCAUGUCCAGGUUCUCCAACUCUCUGAUUCUUCAGACUUCUUGGAGCUCUUGUGAGAACUGGCUUGCACUUUUUGGCUGGGAAGCCAGCCACUCACCAUGUGUUCUUGGAGAGGUUUCCUGUAUUUGGAAGCUUCUGGAAUAUGUGAUGCAUCAAACCACUGUGACACAUCUGUAUGGCACCUCAUGCCUAUGCACACAGGCAUGCUUCUGCUGAGUGCAGCUCACUUAGAGAUGAGGCCCAGUGUAGGGUUUUUGAAAUUUUUCCAACACAUUUGUAAGAGAUGCCCUGAGCCUUGCCCAGCAUGCAUGUUGUGUGUAUGCUACCUGUUUGCUGGCUAAUGUACAGCGCCUGCUGGAAGCCUUGGCUAAUGUACAAUGUAAAGUAAGGGACUAGAAACACUGGCUUUAGUUCUGAGUGUCUGCUUCAUGAUUGACUUGAAAAAGUAGGGCUUACCCACAGAGAGAAAGGUGGGUAAGAGAACUCGUGGGUGUCAGUUUUCCUUAAAGGCAGAGCAUAAUCCCCCACUCUUUAUAAGGGCUGGUAAGGCAGAGUAUUGGACAGCAGGACUUCUUGGCCAGUUAGCCCUCUUGAGUGACCUUUGUUUAAAUAGACCCAGAACUUGUAUGAAGGAGGAAAUAAUGGUUUAUCUUUAUUUACAGCGGAUUUAGCCAUGAUGGUUUAGGCUUUUUCUGGGGGUAUUCCUUUAGGACAGUUGAGGUUGGACAGGGGCAGCAUGCAUAUGUGUCUCUAAAUGUCUGUCCUUUGGUAUUUCCUGAAUGCAUCCUUGGCUCAUACUGAAACCCUGUGAUGGGGAAUCCACAGCGGAAUUGUUUUAGUGGAUAAAGCCUUCUGUAGCUUCAUGUGUGAAGAUUUGUCAUGUUGGAUCCAGUUCAUUCUGUCCACUUGAAGGAUGGAAAAGAGAGUGGGCAGAACUUGCAGCAAGGAGAGUGAUUUGGGCUAGACUUCUGGGAGAACUGUGCAUCACCUCUGCUGAGGGUUCCUGAGGAAAGAUGAAGCCUCUUUAUUUGAGGUAGGAGACUCGGUGUCCUCCACAGGAUCCUCCCAGUCCCAAGUCUGUGGCACUUUGAGACAGUCCCUGGAACAGCAUGAGGUUUGGGUGCCAGGAUCUAGAGCAGGCAUUUCUCUCCAUCUUUCCCAUCUGUCUUCAAGACAGGCCCAAGCUGGAUGCAAUUGAGGGGAUGCAUGGGCAGGGUACACCAAUGUGGUCAUCGAAUCUGGAACUUUGACCUUGUUUCCCUUUGCAGAGAGAACUUCUGGCACUGAUCUUAUAGGAACUGGUGUUAUUUGCAUAUAAAAAAAGAGAAAGGCAUGUUGUCCCUCAUCUUUUCCAGGAAAGAGUGCUGAGCUGCUCUAAUCCUAUGGUGGGGAGGGAGGAGGGCCGUGUAGAGGACGCAAGGCCAGACAUGGUUUGCUGGGAAGAAGGUAGGAGGUGGGAGAGGAACAUCCCAGGGCAGGCCCACAACUCUGGGAGCCACAGACAUUGCCUGCUAUACUAAAGGCAAAGGGAUGUGUUCAAAUAGGCCUACUAUUUAGCGGUAACCCACAGUCUGAAAUAAAUCAGUUAAUGGCUAAAUGAGAGUUGUAUUAAAUAUGGAAAAUCAUAUUUUUUGUGUGUCAUCACCACCUACAGAUUUAGCAUCAACAGGCCUGAAAGGCUGAGGAUGCUGAAAUGGGCCCUGUCCGUAAGAUCAUGCUUAUUUUAUAAUGACUUUUUGUCUCUUUUCAUUACUAUUUCCCACUCUUAUUCCUUAGGUCUACGUGAAUAUUUAUUUAUGCAGUUGUGUUAUUUCCUUGGGGUACAGUUCUUCCAGUGUCAUUGGCAUCAAUGAAUAUGUGACUUUGAUUUCAAGUGUAAACAAACCACUGGUUCACGGCAGGGACAAGCCAUCUCUGAGACAAGGGCUCCAGCAGCUGCCUACAGAUGCCCUUCCCCCAAUAGCCCUGGACUGUUUCGGCCAGACGCCUGAGACGAGAGUCAAGGGUGUUCUUGCAGGGACCUGCCCAACGCUAUGUCAUGUGUCCUGCCUGGAGGGUGGUGCUCACACAUGCAUCUUCCAGCCUUAUUAGCUGGUACUGCUUUUCAGCUUGACCCGAGGAGUGGUAUUGGAAGUUUGAGACCGUACAUCCCUUGCUAGGUGAGAAGGGGGUCAGAGAGGUCAGGCACAGACAGAGAAGGGAACGCAGGCUCCUGGCCACUAGCCUCUCUCAAGACAGGUGAACUUUGUGUUAAGCGAACUCAUUUAAUAUUUUGGGCCUAAUAGAAGUUAUUUGUAUUUUCUCUCCUCUCUUUUCCCUCCUCUCUCUCACUCACCCUCCCCCCACUCCCCAGCCUCCAAAGAAUUUAAUCUGCUGGACAACAAACAAUACUGUUAUAAAACUUUGAAAACAAGAGGGCGCGGCCUCCCUGACAAGGAGAAGGGCAUGUUGGGUAACGGCCUGAGGGAGCGUGCCAGGCCUGAGAUGGAGCCGGGCGAGAGCCCAGUUGGCUGGGUACCUGGGCGCCUGCCCCUGCAUAGCCCACUAGCCGCGCCAUCCCCAGGCCAGAGGGGAAGGAACCAAAACAAAAUGGGGGGCAGAGAAACGCUUGAAAAGGGAAGUUGCACAUGUUCCCCUCUCUCUGAUCUGAUGGGAAUGCACUAGACUGUGAAACUUCCUCCUCCACCUCUUCUCCCGAGUCCCUCCCUCCCUCUUACCCUCCUUCCUCCUCUCUCCUCCCUCCUUUCUCCUCCUUCCUCCUCCUGCUACUCACUGUUCUUGAGUCUGGCAGACAGAGGUCCUGAUAGCAGAAUGAGGCUGGAAUAGCACCAUAGGUGCAGCUACCAGCUGGGCCAGCCAAAGAGGAAGGAGAGAAAGUGGGCUUGCAGUUGGCUUUGGAUUCAAAUCUACCCUCUGUCUGGCCCAGCCUCCCUCCAUUCUAUUAGGGAAGUGGAACUACAUCACGCCACAGGGUGUGCCCAGUCCAUGUGUGUGGACCAGGUGUGUGCCCAGGUACUGGGGAGAACUGCCACUCAGAGAUUAGUUCAGGAAGCACCCUGGGCUUCCUGGUGCCCCCCUUGGGCUGUGCUCUGCUCUGGGGAGAGUGUUUGACUUGUUGAAAUGCUCUCUCCUUUGAGAUGCUGUGCUCUCCCUCCAGGGAGGAGCAGAGGCUGUGCUGCAAGAGGCUGGGGCAUGUCUCUGGAGGAGCUCUUGGGAACAGGAACGUGCUUCUCCCAGCGAGAGCAGCCAUGCCGUCUUGUGAGUGUGGUGCCUGGUAGGAUACUGCAUCUGUUAGUUACUUCCCAGUGGCUGAAGGAAGUGGUCACCAGCUCUGCCUGGGGGAGGUGGGGGAGCUGGGCUUUGGGGCGUCUCCCUCCCUACCUCCAGAGUUAGGUUUCACCUGAGACUGUGGUUUCACUUUUGACUCCAUCUUCACUGAGUCAAGCAGAUGAUUUAGGAAUGACCAGGGAGCAGCAUUGGUGGUUUGCCUUUGGAUCUGCAUUGGUUUGGACCCAUGAACUCUGUGGUGGGCAUUGUGUUUGUGUAAUAGACCAUUGGUAUGCUCAUUUUUCCUCUUGCAGAAAGCACUAGCUUUCUUGAAAGCAGUUCAGGGACAUGCCCAUCCUUCUGUGCCAGAGCUGAGCCCUUCUACUGGGGGAACAUGGAGACACGCGAGCUCCAGUCUUCAUUCCACUCCUCCUCCUUCCCUUUGCCCUCCACUGUCUCCUGCUGUCCCCCCAGCUCAUCCCAGGGGCAGGGUAACCUUGGUGCAUCCUCCCAUCCAGCCAGCAGUCCCGACCCAGGGCCCCCGUGCCUGGACUGAGUCUGGGGUUUAUGUCAGUAGUGUUAAGGGAGGGAUGGAAAACUGAACUUUUAGGAGUGCAGCUGCCUAGGAACAUAGACCUCCAUACCUCUGACGCAGGGGAAACCAGAAAAACCGAUGCUGGGUCCACGUAGGCUUGGAAGGCUGUUACUUUUUGCCUUCUUACCUGAAUAGGAAUUUGAGGGGCACUGUGGGUUUGGAGGAUGUGAUUCCCACACUGGGGCUCAGGGCCUGGGAAAUGCAGUGGUCCCUGGGUUCUGAGUCCUCCUUUGAAGGCCACCCUGCCAGAAAGGAAGAGCCUGAUGGAGGUUUCUGGGGACUUUGGGCCAGCCGGUAACUCCAUGCUCCCUCUGCUCCACCCUUGGCCCCUCAUGUGUAUACCAUUCCUUUUAUCACCCUUCCCUCUGAUUCACAGCCCCCACCCUGACAGCUAAAGACAGAAUGCCCAGGCUGCUGCCUAGAAUGACAGGAAGCUGGACUGCCCUUUCAGUUUAUACAUGCAAUGGCCUGGGACUGUCUCUUGAGGGCAAGACAUUCCCCUUUUACAAAAGAGCCUUCCCCAGGCCCCUCUCUCACCAAGAUGAGCUCUUCCUUGCUGCCAGGAGCCCUGAAAUCAGCAUUCCCAGAGGAAAGAAGAUGGCCAUCUGGGCUUGGCUUCCGGCUCCCCCCAUCUGGCUGGAACACACAUCAGUCACGUAAGUAGCUGUGACUCAGCACCCAGCACUGCCUUGGCAGAACCUUCCCACGUUCUGGAUUUGCACACACUGUGGUAGCGCAGCACAAGCAAGCAGGGUUAGGUAACUGGGGACCAGUGUCUGUUUGUUCAGUGGGUUUGCCUAUGGAUUUCAGAAAGAAGGAUUCCCUCACCUUCCCAUUUUCCUCCCAUGUUAUUUUUUAGGUACCAUGCUAGGCUUUAAAGACAAAGCAUCAUUUAUAGAAUGAAGUAGAAGCUGUCUUUGCAGUCUCCAAACUAUUUUUAACCAACAGCCUAUAGAUGGUAUUUAACCCUCAGGUGUGUUUGGCCUGCACGGGUUUUUGUUUUUGUUUGAGACAGGGUUUCACUCUGUAGCCCAGGCUGGAGUGCAGUGGCACGAUAUCAGCUUGCUGCAACCUCUGCCUCCCGGGCUCGAGCAGUUCUCAUGCCUCAGCCUCCUGAGUAGCUGGGACUACAGGUGCCACCACACCUGGCUAGGGUUAUUUUAAUGUAUCUGAUUUUGCAUGCAUUUAGACAAAAUAUGGCCUCUCCAGUUCACUGUAUUUCUGCUGCAUGCUGUUGCUGCUUCUCUGUCUCAGGUUUCCUGCCCAAGCCCUCCGAGCAUUUGAAUGUGCUGUGAGCAGCCUACCUCAGCCUCCUCUCUUUACACAUGAAGACACUGAGGCCCAUUCAGGGCAAGUGGCAGGUCCCUGUUCUCAGAGUUGGGGCCAAGCAGAGAGUAAAGAGUUAAAUUUUAGAAUCCAGGAGUGGGGACCCAGACUGUGGCUUCUGUUAACUCCCUCAGUGGCAGUGGCGUCCUGCUAUGCACAGCCCCUCUGCUGUACUCCGAAUGGUCCCUUACGGGUAGCAGGAGAGACAUUAAAUAAUCACACUGAUGACCAAGUGAGAUAAGUGGUUUUUGAAGGAAAGAACUUGAGGCUGGCGAGGACCACUUAACCUUCUAGCAAGGGCUGGACUCAGGGAGGCUUUCCUGAGCUGCGGGGAGGAUGACAGGUUCCCUGGAGUGGUGGUGGGUGGGGGCGGGGCUGAGGGGUGGUAGCCAAGGGAGGGUGAAGGAGAGUAUUCCAGAAGAGACAACAGCUUAGGCAGGCAGGACCUCGCCAUGGAGGAAGGUGCUUUCUGAUCACUGCGGGACACCUGUGUGAUAGCUCAUAGGGAGGGGGUACUGGUAACUAAAAGUUGAUAAGGAAGAGUGGCUAAAAUGAAAAGCAGAAAAGUGAGAAUCUCAUCAAAUCCCCUCAUUUGACAGGAUUUGGACUCCCAGUAGUAACUGUCCUUAAACACUCACUCCUGACCUUACAACCCUGGCUGUUACCUGGUUAACAAGCCCCAGGUGUUGGCUACAGGUGUCAUCACUGAGAGCCCUUGUGUGCAGAUCUGCCCCAGCUCUCCCACCUGUGACUGAGGCUAGCAAGUCCCCCGUGGGCUGUAGAGCCUAGCGCUGGUGUCAGAAUCGCUUGUUGCAGGUUCAUCUUCAGUGUCUUUCCCACAGCCACAUGCUGGGGAAAGACGGCAAAGGCGCUAGAGGAGCAGGAGAACAAAGCAAGCUGCCCCAGACCACCCGGCUUUCGCAGAACCCAGAUGAUGCUCCUGUCUCCCCCUAAGUAUAACGUGUUAUGUAGUCAGUAUGAUCCCAUUCAGUGCAGAAGUAUCGCCUAGGAAUUUCCUGCCCCACCCACCCUGUUUUGUUCUUAAUGAAGUUCAAGAACAAAAUGAGAUGAUAGUCAAGUUAUGGAGCAGGCUGCAGUGGAUACAAGGGCAGAAACACAGUCUUUGGAGUUAGACCUGGGAUCUGCAUUGAUUGGUUGUGUGACUGCAGACAAGUUAUUUAGCCUCAUUAAGGAUGAAUUUCUUCGCAAAAAUUGGAAUAAUACCUGCCCCAUACGACUGUUGUGAGAAUUAAACACCGCAACUUUUGAUGUUCAAAUUCUAUUUCUUCUCCUUCUAGCAACACAUACUGUUAGUGCCAGGAACCAUAAAAAUUAUAAGGCUGUAUCUAGAGGCCUGAAAGGAAGCUAAAAUAUACAGUGUCUACUCUGUCUCUUUUCUCUUGGUUAUGGUAUCAGAGGAAAUACACAUAUUUUCUUAGCUUCAAACCACCAAAAAAGAUGAUGCAGUAAGGAGAUGGGAAAUCUAAUUUGGAAUACAGUGUGCAAAUCUUAUUUUCAAGCAGACUUUGAAAAUAAAACUCAAUUCUUACGUUAGAGGAUUAUCUGCUUAAUACAAUUAUAGGGUACCAGUUUUUGAAGUCACAUCGGGGUUAAAUAAGAUUGCAGGUUCAUGGGGUCAUAUUUGAAUGUUCUGAUACUUACAUAUGGGGUGGGAAGGAGGAAUGCAUGCUUUUCUCAAGUUAAGACACAUAAAAGAGUUGUCCUGGCCCAGGUGAGACUCGCCUUUGUGUAGCAGCUGGAGCUUCAUUCCACAGGCAGAUAGGGUGCUUGUGUCCUGAUGAAGUAAGAGAAUAUAUCUGGAAACACUUUGUGUACUGUGAAAUACUAUACAAAUGCAGGGCAGUACAAAUGUAAAUAUUAAUGUAUUUUAGUAAUAAUUUUAGCUUUUAUUUCAUCAUAUAUAAUAAUUUGUAGUGACUGGUGUGAAGUUAAAUAGAAUUAACCUAGAAUUAAUGAGUUUUGUAUUGCUCUCAUCUAUUUGAAGCAUCAGCUGUGCCUUUCAUGUUGCCUUGUGCAGCCCUGUGUAACCUCCUCUGUGCCUUUCCCAUGGAGCACUGUGUCAUAUCACAAGUAGAACUACAAGAAGAUAUUUCUCCUCAGGGCAGAGGCUGGGUCUUCCGAUUGAAUCUCCCUUCUUUCUUCAUUGAGAUCCUCUUCUUCUGGAAGCUGGUUUCACAUGGUGGCUUAGAUUUUUCCAUCUUUGUAUCUAGCACCAUUUGAAAUCAGUGUUUUAGGAGUAAGAAUUGCAGCACAGCCAAGGGUGGACUGCAGAGGAACUGCUGCUCAUGGAACUGGCUCCUCUCCUCUUGCCACUUGAGUCUGUUCGAGAAGUCCAGGGAAGAACUUGAAGAGCAAAAUACACUCUUGAGUUUGUUGGGUUUUGGGAGAGGUGACAGUAGAGAAGGGGGUUGUGUUUAAAAUAAACACAGUGGCUUGAGCAGGGGCAGAGGUUGUGAUGCUAUUUCUGUUGACUCCUAGCAGCCAUCACCAGCAUGAAUGUGUUCGUAGGGCCUUUGAGUGUGGCGAUUGUCAUAUUCUGUUGGAUAACAAUGUAUUGGGUGUCGAUUGUCAUGGGGCAGGGGAGAGGGCAGUACACCUGGAGGACCAUUUUGUCCACAUCGACACCAUCAGUCUGCUCUUAGAGGAUGCCCUGGAGUAUUCGGCGUUGAUUGCGGGGCACCCGAAAUCAGACUUGCCACCUGGACUGUCGAGGUGCAGACCCUGGGAGCACCACUGGCCCAUCUCUUACACAGGCUGACCGAUUUCUCCUGGUGUUCAGAGUCUGUUUUUGUCUAGCACCAUUUGAAAUCGGUUAUGAUGUAGGGGGAAAAGCAGCAGCCUCGAAGCCUCAUGCCAACUCUGGGCAGCAGCAGCCUGUGGUUUCCUGGAAGAUGGAUGGGCAGAGAAUAGGGAAGGAAGAUCAUGCUUUUCCCUACUAACUUCUGUAACUGCAUGUAUGAUACAUUAUUGCAGAGGUAAGAGAUAGUUUAAUGGAUUUUUAAAAACAAAUUACUAUAAUUUAUCUGAUGUUCUCUAGUUGCAUUUUGCUGAAAUGUAGUGCUGUUCUAAAUUCUGUAAAUUGAUUGCUGUUGAAUUAUCUUUCUGUUGAGAAGAGUCUAUUCAUGCAUCCUGACCUUAAUAAAUACUAUGUUCAGUUUAUCAUGUCUGUGUUUUUCAUCUAUUAUUUCCCAUUCAUAAUUCUGUGAUGAUAAGAAGUGGGUCCUGAAAAAUUAAUUGGCUGUGCAGAUCUUGCCUACUUCAUAAAGAAUUUGAAGUAGGUUACAGCCAGCCAGACAUUAAAAAUGAAGCCCAUUAAGAGAAGAAUGAAAUUCUAUGAGCCAAGAAAUAAAAUGAGAGAAAAGAUUAGGGAAGAGAAGAAAUGUUGAAGAUCAAGGCUGAGGGAUGCUCCCUACUGAAUGGGAAAACUCCUUAGUUCCACAUGGGCUGUAGACACAGCCCUUCUGCCAGCAACUGUUCCUGCAAGGAACUGGUGCUCAACUAAACAUACUGUCACAUGGUUCCUUGAAGGGGCACAGCACUGAUUUCACUUGCAUUAUAAAAGAUUGAGUGGUGCUUUUGACUAUUAGUUUAUGUCAACACUUCAAAACAAGAUGAGCCAGUUUUUUUUUGUUUUUUUUUUUUGUUUGUUUGUUUGUUUUAGACGGAGUCUCACCCUGUCACCCAGGCUGGAGUGCAAUGGCACUGUCCCCGCUCACUGCAACCUCCGCCUCCCGGGUUCAAGCAAUUCUGCCUCAGCCUUCCGAGUAGCUGGGAUUACAGGCGUGGCACCUCCACGCCCAGCUAAUUUCUGUAUUUUGUAGUAGAGACGGGGUUUCAUCAUGUUGGCCAGGCUUGUCUCGAACUGCUGACCCCGUGAUCCACCCACCUCAGCCUCCCAAAGUGCUGGGAUUACAGGCGUGAACCACCUCGCCUGGCCCAGUGAGCCAGUUUUGUAAAGCUAUUCAGAGAUUAGCCAGAUUUGAUUUGAUAGGGGAUCAAGCUUGUAGGAUCUUCAGGAAGGCGGGCUGUGGCCCCUUGAUCAGGCUUUUUGCACAGGAGGUGCAUGACUAUGAACUACCCUCAGUAGAACUCUUUUAAGCCAGUGGCUUGCAAUAAAUGAUGGCAAAUCAGCCACCUAGGAAGCCAUUUCUAAGCCCAACCCCCUGCCACAGUCUUCCUCUAGAUGGCUGCCCUGCCCAGUGGGCUGAGAGUGGGGGGCGGAAGUAGCAUUUGCUGGGAAGACUUGCCAGUACAUAUGUUGCACCCCCUCACUGCAGCUGCAGUGCUAUUUCAGGCUGUUGAUGGAAGAACCCAUGUUCUAAUCCCCAGGAUGUGGUGGGAAGACCCUAAGUGGUGGUGUUAGUUAAGACCCUAAGUUAUAUUGUUUUGUUCACUUCCCACUGAGAUAGGCUACAAUAGUAUUAAAUACCUAUAGGUCAGACAUUUUUGGGGUCUGUUGUACUACCUACCAAUUAAACAGUUUUUGAUCCGCCCACCACGCUCAAAGCUCCAGCCUAGGUGUUGCAAAUACAGACGACAGAUUUUUGCUCUCAGGAGGCCCUGAUUCCAGUCCUCAAACGAGUAAGUGUGAAAUUGAGUGCAGCAUUAAAGCACAAAAACAAUGAUUUGAGACGUCUUUUCUAUAAAAGAAGUUUAUAGCACUCUCAUUGAAUGCUUAAAUAGUGCCACACUGCUAAGUCGUGAGAAGCAAAAUGUAACUGCGGUGCCUCAAACAGGAUUAUUUUGUUUUAUUCAUUUGGAUGCGGACAGCUCUUUAUCUAAAAUUGCCAUUCUGAGGUGGUUUUGCACAAUAAAUUGGUAAUUAUGUAGACUGUUUCUUCCAGAGACAGCAUCUUGAAUCGGGUUUAUGAAGCCAUGCUAUCAACCUAGGUAGAAAAUGCUUUGUAGGACAUGGGUCCUGCUUAUCUAAAUUUUACCAGAUUUUAUUAGCUGUAAAUUUAUAAGCGGGUCUUGGUGAAUAGAUAAUGAAAAAAAUAUUGAGUGGGGAGGCUUAUUAGACUGACAGCACCUUCAAGACUCAUGCAAGUUGGACUGGAAAAUCCCACCUGUGGAAGUAAAACACUGAUGAGUCCUUAAUAAAUAUGGAUGAGACAAGUCAAAUAUUUGGCCAAUUUAGGUGAAACAGAAAUAAGUCUAGAACUGGACAAUUAUUUGUGUAACAUACUGGCCCAGACCUUCACUUUGAGAAGCUGGUGUGUAGUUUCAGGAGAGUACCUGGCAGACUAGUGUGUCCAUACUUCGAUGGAGCUUGAGAGUUUUCCUUGAACACAAAAGUUGUAUUUUUGAGUUUAUUCUAGUAUGAUGGUGCCCUACCCUAUCUUCCUAUUCAGUUCACCCAAAGAGCCUUUAAAUUAGUGUUCCCUUGGUCCCAUCCCUACAGUCUCUGGUUUUGCUGGUCUGGGAAUGGGUCUGGACAUCACUGUUGUUUUAAAGUUGAGAGCCUCUCUUCUGUGGUCUUGUUCCUAAAACGCUUUACUACUCACUGUGGUCUGAGGGCCCCCAGCACUGGUGUGUUAGUUUCCUGUGGCUGCCCUAAAAAAUUACCACAAACAUGGUGUCUUAAAACAACACACAUUUGUACAGUUACAGAUUCCAGAAGCCUGCAAUCAGCUCACUGGACUGCAAGGGCCACCCGCCCUCUCAGAAGCGCCGGGAGAGAACAGGUUUUCUUGCCUUCUUCAGCUGCUAGAGCUGCGUUCUUUGGCUUGCACCCCCUUCCUCUGUCUUCCAAGCCAGCGGGGCAGUCUUUUGCUUCAGUGGCCAUGUUGUCUUCUGGCACAGUCACAUCUCCCCCUGCCUCCCUCUUAGAAGGACCCUUGUGGUUACAUUUAGGGCCCCCACCUGGAUAAUCCAGGAUAAUCUCCCUAUUUCAAUUUUCUUAAUCUCAUCUGUAAAGACCCUUUUGCCAUAUAAAGUAACAUUCACAGGUUCCAGGUAUUAGGACUUGGAUAUCUUUAGAGGCCAUCAUACAGCCCACCACAAACAGCUCCUUAGGCACUCAUUAGAAAUGCAGAACCUCAGGCCCCAACCGAUACCUUUUGAAUCUUCUGAUUCUAAUUUAAGAAGAUCACCAUGUAACUCACUAGCACACUAAGACUUGAGAAGCACGAUGCUAUGGGAACCUAACCAAAGAAUUCUCAAGUCCCAACUUAAAUACAAAUUUACAGAGUAUUUUUCCUAGGAACGCUUUCAGGUGGAGGAGAUUAAUCAGACGAUAGAUAAUUUUCCUGAACACCAUUCUGAAGUGCUUCUCUAAGCAUUUGUUCCUGAAUUCUCUCUCAAUGAAGCCACAAGCCCCAAACACCAGGAUUACUGUUUACAGGGGUUCCUGUUUACAGUAGUUUAGCACAGGGUUUGCCACACUGCAGCAUAUUAUUAUAGUUUAGUUUUGUAAAAAGCUACAUGAGAGAGGUAAAUCUUAUAAAUGGAGGUGGAGUCUCCUAACACCAGUUUUACCACCUCUGUACAGGUUUCCCUGGGCUAUGUACUAUCGAAUCAGGAAUCAGGAAGGGCGGCUUUUUCAAAUGUUAUCUAUACUUUUGGCAAUUUGUUCAAACGUUCUGCUGGUAUGUGAGAGGGAAGGAAAAAUUGUUUAUUGACCACAGAUCCACAAUAUUAUACUUCUCCUAUACUUAAGCAAUAAGGGACAGCAUUUAAAACUCUUUUAAAAAUGUUAAUCUUGGCUGGGCACAGUGGCUCAUGCCUGGAUCCCCAGUAAUUUGGAACACUGAGGCAGGCAGAUUGCUUGAGGCCAGGAGUUCGAGACUAGCUUGGGCAACAUGCGAGAGCCCGUCUCUACAAAAAAAAAAAAAAAAUACAAAAAUUAUCCAGGCAUGGUGGUGCACACCUGUAGUCCCAGCUGUUGGGGAAAGCUAAGUUGGGAGGAUCCCUUGAACCCAGGAGGUUGAGGCUGCAGUAAGCUGUGAUUGAGCCACUGAGCUCCAGCCUGGGUGACAGAGCGAGAUCCUGUGUCAAAAAAUAAUUUUGAUUUCACGGAAGGAGAAGAGGACUAGUCUUAUACCAUAUCCCAAAUGAAAUUGAAAAUGUCUUCUGGGAAUCACAGCAAUGACUCAAACUUCUGAAUAGUGACUAGGUUUGAGCUGGUAAGGAAGGGAUUGUCAAAUGCCGUGACAGUCCACAGGAGGGCAGCAGUGCUCCGAUUUACAAAGGAUUAGUCAUACUAGUGUAACCUUUUCUGAGUGAGCCUAGAAAUUCUGAUGAAAACAGUGUAGUCCAGGAAAAAAAAAAAAAAAAUCUGUAUGUACAAUCACUCAAUUUUGAAUCAUUUCUGGAAGUUAUUAGACUCCAUGUUAAAUCCUACUUAAGUACAAGUAUGCAAAAUUUAAAAAUAUGCAGAAAAGCUCAUUCUUGGUUAAAAUGUUAGCUGAAAGACAUUACUAAGUUUUAGAAUACCAUAGAGUUGACUAUUUCCCACAAACCCUAAAAUCUACUUGAACACCACAAAUUCAUAUUCCUUCUAAUCCCAAGUCCCUUCAGCAUUCUUACAGAUUUAUUGUUAGUUACCUUACAAAGUAACUAACUGUCCCCAUGUAUUUUAUCCCAAUUUAAAAAAUACAUUACAGUCUCAAGGUCACAUAAGAUUUUCCAAAAUGCUCUAUUCAUAGUCAAUAUAAUUUUCAGGCCGGGUGCGGUGGCUCAUGCCUGUAAUCCCAGCACUUUGGGAGGCCAAGGUGGGCGGAUCACCUGAGGUUGGGAGUUCGAGACCAGCCUGACCAACAUGGAGAAACCCCGUCUCUACUAAAAAUACAAAAUUAGCCAGACGCGGUGGUGCAUGCCUGUAAUCCCAGCUACUCAGGAGGCUGAGUCAGGAGAAUCGCUUGAACCCAGAAGGUGGAAGCUGUGGUGAGCCGAGAUAGUGCCAUUGCACUCCAGCCUGGGCAACAAGAUCGAAACUCCAUCUCAAAAUAUGUGUGUGUGUGUGUGUGUGUGUGUGUGUGUGUGUGUAUAUAUAUAUAUAUAUAUAUACACACACACACAUAUAUAUAUAAUUUUCACCUAGUGUUUUAUUAAACAGAAUGCUUCUGUAUUUUUAUGUUUAUUUGAGACAAUGCUUCUGUAUUUCUAAACAACAGCUAGCCUUGUUCAGUUAGCCAAACAACAAAACCUUAAUUCAAGUCUUCAAUGAAAUUUUCUGAUUUAAUAGGCUGAAUUAAGAAAGCCAUAAUUUUCUUCUAUAAAUAUAAGCCUUUAACUUCUAUCUUUACAAGUUUAUAUAGAAAAAUUUACUGUGGGGCUUGAGAUUUACUAAUGCAUGGGUUUUCAACCUUAGCUGCACUUUGGAAUCAUUUAGGACGCUUGGAAAUCCCUACACCCAAACCACAUCCCAGAUCAAUUACACUAGAAAUCUCUAGGGGUGGGACCCAGGUGUCUGUAAAUAUCCCCCGGUGAUUGCAAUGUGCAGCCAUGGUUGAGAAACACUGAAGCCUGCUCUGAGAAAUUUAGCAAUCCGACUUAAUUCAAAUCUGCAGAGAGAGCAACAAUGAUUUUUGCAGAAACAACCAAAUCCUACUAGUUACAUAAAUUUUAUACUUUGUUAGGACUUGGGUUUUUAUUUAGCUCUACAUAUGCGAUCAUAGGAUGCAGAAGAUAUAUCUUCUACUGGACACGUAUAUAUAGAUGCUUAAAUGUGGCUAUCCCAAGGUUAGGUAAUAAUAAAGACUAUAAGAGCUGGGCAGAAAUCAGGCACAGUUUCAUGAAGGGUAAUAUCUGAGCUGGGCCUUGGAAGAUGCAUAGGAUCUCAACAGGACAGUAGGUGUUUCAAGCAACAAUGAACUAGGAAUACAGCAGAAAGCACAGGGGAAAUGGUCAGGCUUGACUGAGAGUAGGUUAUUUGAAGAAGUGCAAUAGAAAAUGCUUGGGGAAGAAAGUUGGGAUUUAAUUGUAAAAGGUCUUCAAGUAUCAGGCUAAGAAAUGUGGACUUCAUCCAGUAGGUAAUGUGAUGUCACUGGAUAUCUGUGCAGUAUCUAUGUGAUGGGUUGGGAGUGGAGAAGCCUGGGGAUACUUAAGGGUCUGAGCUAGGAGGGACAGGAGGAAUGGCUGUGGGAGUGGAAUGGUUAGAAGAUGGGCCCAAUUAGAAACAUACUUCAAUUUGAGACAAAACCCACUAGAAAUAAACACAUCAUCAUGAAACAUCUCCAAAUGUACAAU